rnacentral:rRNA from 1 species
AGCUCCAAUAGCGUAUAUUAAAGUUGCUGCAGUUAAAAAGCUCGUAGUUGCAUUUCCGAGGCAAGGGAUUAGUCCGACCUUUGGUGGGUAUUUAAUCCUCUUGCCUCGUCCUUGAGUGGUGCUUCUUGGUAUUAAGUUAUCGAGGAGAUAGCCGCUCAUCGUUUACUGUGAGAAAAUUAGAGUGUUCAAAGCAGGCUUAUGCCGUUGAAUAUAUUAGCAUGGAAUAAUAAGAUAGGACCUCGGUACUAGUUUGUUGGUUUGAGAACCAAGGUAAUGAUGAAUAGGGACAGUUGGGGGUAUUCGUAUUCAGUUGUCAGAGGUGAAAUUCUUAGAUUUACGGAAGACGAACUACUGCGAAAGCAUUUACCAAGGAUGUUGUCA